rnacentral:rRNA from 1 species
GAUGAACGCUGGCGGCGUGCCUAAUACAUGCAAGUCGAGCGAACAGAUAAGGAGCUUGCUCCUUUGACGUUAGCGGCGGACGGGUGAGUAACACGUGGGUAACCUAUCUAUAAGACUGGAAUAACUCCGGGAAACCGGGGCUAAUGCCGGAUAACAUGUUGAACCGCAUGGUUCUACAGUGAAAGGCGGCUUUGCUGUCACUUAUAGAUGGACCCGCGCCGUAUUAGCUAGUUGGUGAGGUAACGGCUCACCAAGGCAACGAUACGUAGCCGACCUGAGAGGGUGAUCGGCCACACUGGAACUGAGACACGGUCCAGACUCCUACGGGAGGCAGCAGUAGGGAAUCUUCCGCAAGGGGCGAAAGCCUGACGGAGCAACGCCGCGUGAGUGAUGAAGGUCUUCGGAUCGUAAAACUCUGUUAUUAGGGAAGAACAAAUGCGUAAGUAACUGUGCGCGUCUUGACGGUACCUAAUCAGAAAGCCACGGCUAACUACGU